UACGAAGGGGGCUAGCGUUGUUCGGAUUUACUGGGCGUAAAGCGCGCGCAGGCGGCCAUUCAAGUCAGGGGUGAAAGCCCAGAGCUCAACUCUGGAACUGCCCUUGAAACUGUAUGGCUUGAGUAUGAGAGAGGUGAGUGGAAUUCCCAGUGUAGAGGUGAAAUUCGUAGAUAUUGGGAAGAACACCGGGUGGCGAAGGCGGCUCACUGGCUCAUUACUGACGCUCGAG
rnacentral:rRNA from 1 species